rnacentral:rRNA from 1 species
UUUUAUUGGAGAGUUUGAUCCUGGCUCAGGACGAACGCUGGCGGCGUGCCUAAUACAUGCAAGUCGAGCGCGGGAAGCAGGCUGAUCCCUUCGGGGUGAAGCCUGUGGAACGAGCGGCGGACGGGUGAGUAACACGUGGGCAACCUGCCUGUAAGUCGGGGAUAACUCCGGGAAACCGGAG